CUCUGUUUCAGCUUUCAGUCACCCCGUCCCAGUAACAAGAGGCAAGACACAGAGCUGUCAGCCAGUCCGUAGACACCUCCAGAGGUAGGUGGGGUUCAGGUCUUGAGGCUUGCGCUGUUGUUUGUGGGGUGCUUGGGUGUGUUCCCGUCCAGGUGGGGGCAAUGCUGUUCCUAGGACCCGCAUUUCUACAAUCCCUAGGUCACCUUCUUGUUUUGUUCAAAUAAGGAAACAGAGAGAGAGGUAAUGUGACCUGUCUGAGGUCCCGAAAAGUAAAAGGGGCACAGACAAAACCAGCAUUCCUGACUCUGAAUCCAGAACUUUCUCGUAACAGUAUCUGGGAAACCCAGGAUCCCAUAUUUUGGGGGUCAGCAGUAGCUCUCGUGUCAUUCUGACACCUGUAGAUCUUUUAAUUAUCUUGCACUUUAUCUCAGAUGACCAAAGAAUUCACCUAGAACUCUGUAUGUGAGAAGCGCCCAGCCUGGACAGGAUCUGAGAAGUGUCCCGGCCGUGAUGGCGUCUCUCCUCUGAGAUAAUUCAGUGUUCUUAAAGUGUGCAAGAAAGGGAUUAGGCAUCUCCAGGAUCCUGAACACCUCUUGGGGGCCAUGAUGUUAGAACAAGAAUGUGACCUUCUAAAUGAACAGAUCUUAAAGCUCUGGAAAACUUGAGUCUAGGAUGAUAUUUUUGAAUACAAAGAAACAGCCUCAUAGAACCAAUGGCUUUGGGUUUACUGGGUUUCUGUCUCUAGGUUCCAGUCUUCCUCUUUUUUCCUGCAAAAGGCAGGUGCCAGGAACCCGGAGGCUCACUGCAAUCCAUGCCCACCCUCAGCCAGGUGGCCCAUACCGCGCAUCCCCACCUGGAGGUGGGUCACAGAGUCUAAGCACUGCAUGCCCACCUCACACGGUGCUUGCUGGUGUCUUUGCGGGAUCAGAAUACUCAGGGCCUUGGGUUCAAAGGCUGGGCAAACUGCCCUGGUUAGUUAACGUCCCUGUGCAAAGAAUGCGAGUGAUUUGCAGGAUUUCUGGAAAUCUACCAUGCUUCAAAGAUGGAUCUCUGAUAGCCUGAAGUUCUCUUAAUUGGCCUUCACCAAUUAAGCUGUAUUUUUUGUCAUAAAUGUCACCCAGUGGUAAAUGAAGUCUCAACUUCUCAACUUGGCAAUGUUCUAUCAUCCUGCCCACUGAGGCAAGCCAGCAGGGACUUGGUUUGAAUGGAGAAGGUCCAAUAGCAGAAACAAGUGUUGAGGAGUGGAAACCCCCAAACACCUGAUUGUUCACAAUUUCUCCUUUUCUUUCUCUCCCUAAUCUCUUGCCUCUCCUCCAAUCUUCUAAAACCAGUUUUCCUAAAAGUCAGUGUAUCUAGUGAUUCUUGUACCUAAACCAACUUCCAAAUUUCACAAAUGCCAAGAGGAGAAAGAGUCUUCGCAGUUCCUUUCAAGUGAUCUCUGCAGUUACACCUGCUUUUCAGCAGAGUAGUCUUGGUGGGUAUCUAGAGCAGCACUGUUCAGUAGGACUUUUUUGAUAAUAGAAAUGCUCUGUCUUGAGUUACCCUGAAGUAAUGGCCCCUGGCUACCUGUGGCUACUGAGUACCUAAGAUGGCCAACAAUUGGAUUUUUAAUUUGAUUUAAUAAAUUUGAAUGAUGGCCCACAUGAUGAUGUGGCCAAGGGCUGUCCUAUUGGACAGUAUAGACGAGUCUCCUCCGUUUGGGUUGAAAACUUCUGAACAAGCAUGAAGACUUUCAGAGAGAUGGACAAUCACCACCUGUUGUCACAAUAUCAGAAUUUUACCCUUUGCUGUGUCUCUUUGAUAUUCCUCCCUUUUUGGUCUCAGGAAGAUAGAGCAGCAGACAGAGAGUGAAGGGGGCAGAGGUGAGCAGGAGGGAGUCUCCCUCCCUGACUCUCCUCCAUCAGUCCUGGGAGUUAGGUGGCUGGCCCAGGUUCCAGAGCUGAGAGGUGGGGGUUAGGAUUCCAGCUCAAGCCUCUCUUACUCUGGUGCCCACAUUCUUUCUUCUGUAAAAUACUAAGCAGCAAACAAAUGACCUUGGUGUUGCCUAGGGUAGGACAGGUGCAGGGAGGGAGCAGCCCAUGUCCAGGGGGUAGAAAUGCAACUCAACUCUUGGUGAGAAAAUUGUGGCAGCGAGCCCAGGAACGCUUCUCCAUUAACUCAUGCUAUAAAAAACAAUAUCAUAUGUGCCAAACUUCAGCGGUAAGGAGGUUUAUCUGGAUAUUCUUCUGUCAAGAAGAAAGGAGAGGGGGUGCUGGGGAUGUGGCUCAAGUGGUAGAGCGCUCCCCUGGCAUGCGUGAGGCACUGGGUUCGAUCCUCAGCACCACAUAAAAAUAAAAUAAAAAUAUUAUAUCCAUCUAAAACUAAAAAAUAAAUAUAAAAAAGAAGGAAGGAGAUAUUCAGGCCUUCAGAACAUGAGGAAUGAUAAUAAUUGGACUGUUGGCAUGACUUGUAUGAUGUCAUCAAGUCUUUGCUUUUGUUUUUUUCAAAAUGGCUAGUUAUUUCCUUUGUUUCUUCAGGAAAACUUAGAAAAGACAAAUUUUAUGUGACUCUUCAACCACAGGCUAGCUUCUCAAUUUAUUAAUUCAAUUGUGCUGGCCCAGGCCCAUGCAAUUAACAACCCCAUAAGCUGUUGAUAGCUGUGGCCUCUCUCCUCCCUCAGAAGUCACAGGACAUGGUCAAGAUCCCUCCUAUGCCAUUACUUUAGUGCUUCAGGUUUCUGCUCCUCCUGUCCAAGCUGACUGUCUCCCAGGACGGAGAGGAGUGGGGAGAGUCGUGGCACGUCAGAUAGCAUCAUAAGCUGGCUUUGUGCUCACCUCCCGGCUCUUCUGGAGGAGACUUCGCGGGUUCCUUGGAGACAUAAAAUGUCAUCUGGCCAGUUAUAACUUGGACACCUCCCAAACUGCAGCCCUCCUCUCUGCUACCAAAGCCACGUUAGCCAGAUGCCCACACUUUCAGAGUCUCUUGACCCUAACACAAAUAUAUUGGGUGCCCAUCCGCUUCUGGGGACAUGCAAUAAACUCUCAGGAUGGCCUUCACAUUCACUUCAAGGUCCCCUUUACAGGCUGGGGACAUAGCUCAGGUUGGUAGAGUGCUUGCCUCGCAUGAACAAGGCCCUGGGUUUAAUCCCCAGGACCAUAAAAUAAAAAAAAAAAAAAAGCAGAAGAAGAUCCUCUUUCCAAUCCCUUCAACUCGGCGUCAUCUCUGUGGGUGUUUCAUGAGCCCUAACCUGUUGUUGCCAACAACUUUUCUCAAGUUCUGCUGAAUGAACAGUUUCUUUGACUUUGGAAUCAAUCUACGACCUUUUAAAAAAAAAUCUGGAAAAUGAACUUAAGAGUGAAAACAGGAUUUUCCUAGUAUAGUUAGAUUGAAAGUGCACAGGGCUAAGAAUACUGGUUAAUAUUUAAUGAGCACUUGUCAUGCAUUAUGGUAGUUUGCCAGGGCUGCCUUAGGAAAGUAUCAUAAUGAGGGAGCUUAAACAAAAUAGAUCUAUUUUGUAACAAUUCUGGAAGCUAGAAGUCCAAGACCAAGGUGUCAGCCGGACUGACUCCUGGUGGAGGCUGUGGUAGAGGCUCUUCCACACCUCUGGUCUGAUCCAGGACCUCUUGUCUUAAUGCCUUCACUGAAGUGUCCACUGUACCCCCCAUUACAUAUAUUUUCAGAUUAAAUACCAGGACACAUAAUGUGUCUGAUUUCAUAAAAAAUGACUGUGACAUUAAAGUAUACUCAUGUACUCGUCCUCUCUAGGUGGUGAACUACGGAUUUAUUUUACAAAUUAUAUAAUCUGAAGAUUGGUCAUUUUAAAUCAUAAAACAAUGCAAUUUUUUUAAAAGAAAAGCAAUGCCUAGCUUGGGAGUUGAACUGUGGUCGGUACUAGAGGAAGAAGAGUAGGAAAAAGAAUAACUUAAUAUGAUAAUAAGCACUUUCCCUCUCUCUCCUACCCUCUUCUCCUCGGCCCCCUUUCUACCUCCACCCGUCUUCCGCCAGAAGUCAACCCAACACACGCAGAGCCAACCAUGAGGCUGGGGAUUCUCCUGCUGAUCCUGUUCGCCUGUGGGGUUGCAGUGCUUCUGCCUGUUCUGGGAAGCUUCAGGAACAAAGAGGGUAGCGGUGGUGGUGUGGGAAGGGGGGGCGGUGCUCUGUCCAGUUCUGGGGAUCUCUCAUAGCUGGUUCAGGACCCACAUUUCCAGGAUCAGCCUUUAAAGAACCAGAGCCCUCUUUAACCGAGACAUCCAAGCAAGAUGGCAUCCCUCCAAGCUUCCUCCCCAUCCCUGGAAGCAAAUUGAGUGUAUGGAAAGGGAGCACAGCUUUUGCCUACAAUCAUGAACUAGCAGGGAAUAAUAUUUCCCAAUGUGAGGGUAUCCAGCUGGAAUAAGGGAAAUAUCGACACAGAGCUUCCCUUUGAGGCCAUAUUUUCAGAUCUCUGUGCCCCAAGGGGAUGAGCCUUUGAUGAGGGCCAAAAGGAUGAUGUUUAACACAUGCAUAUUUAAUUUGAAGGGAAGAACAUCUUAGAACACACAAAAAAAUGAAAAAGACAAAUAAGGAGUCUUUAAUGGAUCGUGGGGUCAUAUGAUUAAAAAGUGAGGCUAACUGAGCAGAAAUGUGGUGAUCAGUGAGAGCAAAGAAUCUAGGAAGAGGGUGAGUUCAUUGGUGGUAUCAACAGGGGACAAAUAGGAAGGGAGACAAUUAGGUUCCUAUUCUCCCUUAGCUCAGGUUUCCCGUUCUGCUAAUCAGAUAUGGAAACUGGAGCUAGAGGAUAUGGUUAGCCUUAAAAACUAAGGUUAUAUGAGAAUGAAUUUAGUGGUGUGGUGUCAUACACAGUGAGGGUAUCCCAGGUGUUGUCUUUAGUACCCAGAAUCCUGCAGGCCUGUGGUAACGUGGAAGGAGGGAGCAUAUGUCAUGUAAGUGAGAUUCAGUUUCACUCACAAUACAUGUCACCAGAAGUGGUCAGUAGGCAUCUCUGGGGAAGAGAUGCUGGUUAGAAUUUGAGGAAGGAAUUUUCUUGGAGGUCAGAGAACUACUUCGCUUGCGACCUGAAGCCCUAGUUCCGGAAAGGUUUCUUCAGCUUGAAAAGGGUUUCUUCAGGUUGUAAGUGGAGGGACCCUGCCAACUUCUACCAUCUCCAUUUCAGUUGAAGAAAAAGAAACUGAACAGUGCUGGGUGCAGCCUCCAUCAAAGUACUGUGAGAAAAGGUGCACGAAGUCCCUGAGCUGUUUAAUUCCAAACCAUACAUGCUGCUGGACUUACUGUGGAAACAUCUGCCUGGACAAUGAGUAAGUUGGUUGGUUGGCAGGUUAGGACCUGGGUGUGCUUGAUGUCUGCUCUGCACUCACCAGUCAGAAGCUGGUCACCUCAUUAGAAGACUACAGUCACCCAAAUUCCAGUCUCUAAAUCCAGGCCACCACUCUGCAAAAUAACCAAAACAGCAACUUUUUCCUCCAGUUUCAUUUUGUAUUUCAAAACAUCAUUCUAUAUAUCCUUCCUUUGUCCAAGGACCCAAUUACUGGUCUCUUUCUCUCAACCAGACCCAAGGAGACCUGAUCUCCAGCUGUUUGGAAAGUCAGCAAACCUCUUGGGAAAAAAAAAUUGGUUGGAAUUUGGUGACUCCUGAUGUAACAGAAAGAGUUUCUGUUCUCCUCUGGAACAGAGGAUGCUAGUAAGUUUGGAAACAGAUUUCCCCAAGGGCUUCUGACUUCUAAUCACCUAGCAUUUCUCUUCCAGAGAGCCCAUGAAAACCAUGCUAAACCCCUAGGUUCUGCGUGACCCAACUCAGGCGUGGGCGCGGGAUGGCUGUGUGGUCUGGGAAGAGUGCUGCCUGGCUCCCUGGUGGGACACUUGCUUGCUCCAGCUGAGGAUCUUGCUGGAAUCUCCUCGAUCUCUACGUCCUGAAAAGGUUCAAGGUUUUUCCCAAAUAAACUAAUAUAUCAAUCAUAA
rnacentral:lncRNA from 1 species